ensembl:lncRNA
CUAUGUGCGCGUAUAUGACAAUAAUGAGGGAAUAAUAACAUGUAUGCUAGAGACCAGUACUUGCUCUGCUUAAGUGUGUUCUAAACACGAGAGCCACAGUACCAGUCAUCACUUACUGAGGUGUUCUCAGUAGAUGUCUUCAGGUGUUUCUUCAAGACGGGGAGGGAUUCUGCAGACCGUAGGGAGUCUGGACUGUGAAUGACAGCCACGCAGUAUGAAUAUUUCAGUGUGUACAUUACUCUGUGUGUCCGUGUGUGUGUGCUUGAGUGCGUUUGUGAGUCUGUGUGCAGUCGAAGAAAAACAUUUCCUUACACUGAUGGUAUCAGAGUGCAAGCUGAUAAUUGGUCAGAAUGAAAACAAGUGACGUUGUUUUUCAAGCUGGUAGAGCAAAGAAGAAGGCUAAUACCAGACGCCGUGGAAGCCGUCAGAGAGUAACAAUGGUCACCAUCUCGGACCGGGAGGAGACCAAGAAGAGAAGAUUUGCUCUAUGGUUUCACAUCACUGUCAUUGUGAGCAUCGGACUGCUGAGUAUUCUCCUCAUCUCCCUGCGCUUCAGUGAGUCUAAAUCAUAUCCUCCUGAAUAGAAUUACAAUACAGUAUAAUCAUAUCAUUGAUUGUAUUAAUAGCAAUGAUAAUGUUAAAUAUUGUUUUUGUUAGAUUUAGUGAUAAUAAUAGGGUUAGCACACAUACACCGCACGCACACCCAUAAACACAGCCUACACACACACAAACAAUCCACACACACGUGCACGAACACACACGCACAUGCACACACACUGCACACACGGGCGUGCUGAUGCAGGUGUUUCAAGACAAGGGCAGCGCAGGACACCGCCUACACACACACCACACACACAUGCACACACACACGCACACACAUGCACGUGCAUACACACACUGCACACACGCGGAUGCAGAUGUUUCAAGACAAUGGCAAGAUUGAGAUAACAGCCCCGCCGUCGACACACUCUCCCACCUGAGCUGUCCAUCAAAGACACUUUUUUGCAAAACCUUAUUUUUCUUUAAACAUUCUCCAUCUCCUUGAGGCUCCAGAAAUGUCUUGUGAUAUUGAAAUCCCCCCUACCCCCUGCCGACUGUAUUAGUUGUUUUAUUUGUCUUAUGUUUUAUGUGUAGGCUAUGUGUGACUGUAGGCUACUGCCGCCUGUCUUGGCCAGAUCACUUGAAGAGAUGUUUAAUCUCAAUGACGCAUUCUUCUGUUAACAAAAAAAAACAUCUCUCACGUCAGGUAGCCAAUGUACAAUCUGCAAUGUAGCCCUCACAACCCCCCCCCCCCCCUCACAACCCCCCCUCACAACCCCCCCCCCCCCACCCCCCCCCCCCCCCCCCCCCCCCACACAAGCCUGUGCUUUAGUUCACUAUGGUUAGGUAGGUUGCUGCCUUAGCUGUUGUAACAUGAACACAUUUUUCAGCUGUUUGUUAUUAUUAUUUCCAACUAACCAAUAGUAGUUGCCAUGCAUUUUUUUUAGUAUCAAUGCACUUUGAGCCCUGAAUAACAGUAAAAGCUAUUGAAUGAUUGAUUUGCAUGCAUAGUCUACUACACUUUCCAUUAAACAAAUACCCCUGUAACCCAACAGUUAGCUGAACAUUAUAUGGUCGCAUCCUUCCACUCCCUGUUUUCUCACCCUGUUUAAACAAGAAAUCAACUGCAUUUGUCCCAGUGUUUGUGCUAUGGGAAAUUAAAGGUCCCAUGGCAUGCUACUUCAUGGAUGCUUUAAUAUAGGUAUUAGUUGGCCCCAAACACAGUAUUUGAAGAUGUUCCUGAAAUUCAGCCGUGGUGCAGAAUUACAGCCACUACGAGCCAGUCGCACAUUGAGCUUUCCCCAAAUAUGCCGUUUCUGUGUCAGUAGCUUUAAUGCAAAUGAGGAGGAGAGAGGCGGGUCAAGAAGGAGGGUGGGGGUGUGGCCCUGAG